rnacentral:rRNA from 1 species
AUUGAACGCUGGCGGCAGGCCUAACACAUGCAAGUCGAGCGAGCGGCGGACGGGUGAGUAAUGUCUGGGAAACUGCCUGAUGGAGGGGGAUAACUACUGGAAACGGUAGCUAAUACCGCAUACCAUCAGAUGUGCCCAGAUGGGAUUAGCUAGUAGGUGGGGUAACGGCUCACCUAGGCGACGAUCCCUAGCUGGUCUGAGAGGAUGACCAGCCACACUGGGACUGAGACGCGGGCCGAACUCCUACGGUAGGCAGCAGUGGGGAAUAUUGCACAAUGGACGCAAGCCUGGUGCAGCCAUGCCGCGUGUAUGAAGAAGGCCUUCGGGUUGUAAAGUACUUUCAGCGGGAAGGCGGUACCCGCAGAAGAAGCACCGGCUAACUCCGUGCCAGCCGCCGCGGUGAUAC